GUUUUCGUAGAAUUUUAUAUUAUUACAUAUAACUAGUUUGUAUUGCUGUGUUUUUAGGUGAGUGAAAGAAAAAUCAUGUUUCCAUACUGUGGAAGCUUUCAACUUUGAUGAGUUGGUUGAGCGAUUAAAUCGAGAAUAAUUCUCAAUCGCCUGCUGUUUGCCGUAAAAUCACGAGCAGUAUUUUCUCAAAAUGUUGGUUUUAACAGAGCGAAUCGCAAACUCGAUAUAAAACAG